rnacentral:piRNA from 1 species
UACAUCACCAUUAGCACACAGUGAACCAGU